ensembl:lncRNA
GGUUAAUAAGGAUACAGGUCUAUGGCUAAUAAGGAUACAGGUCUAUGGUUACUAAGGAUACAGGUCUAUGGUUACUAAGGAUACAGGUCUAUGGUUACUAAGGAUACAGGCCUAUGGUUAAUAAGGAUACAGGUCUAUGGUUACUAAGGAUACAGGUCUAUGGUUACUAAGGAUACAGGUUGUCCUUUAUUGUUAUGAUCCUUGUCCUGAAGGCAGAACUGAGGGAUUUCCUCCUUGUCUAGGCCAGCUGCAAAG